AGAGCGAACGCUGGCGGCAGGCCUAACACAUGCAAGUCGAGCGCCCGUAGCAAUACGGGAGCGGCAGACGGGAGAGUAACACGUGGGAACGCGCCCUUCGGUUCGGAAUAACUCAGGGAAACUUGAGCUAAUACCGGAUACGCCCUUACGGGGAAAGAUUUAUUGCCGAAGGAACGGCCCGCGUCCGAUUAGCUAGUUGGUGAGGUAAUGGCUCACCAAGGCGACGAUCGGUAGCUGGUCUGAGAGGAUGACCAGCCUCACUGGGACUGAGACACGGCCCAGACUCCUACGGGAGGCAGCAGUGGGGAAUAUUGGACAAUGGGCGCAAGCCUGAUCCAGCCAUGCCGCGUGGAUGAUGAAGGCCCUAGGGUUGUAAAGUCCUUUUAACGGGGAGAUAAUGACGGUACCCGUAGAAUAAGCCCGGCUAACUUCGCGCCAGCAGCCGC
rnacentral:rRNA from 1 species